rnacentral:rRNA from 1 species
UGGGGAAUAUUGCACAAUGGGCGAAAGCCUGAUGCAGCAACGCCGCGUGAGUGAUGAAGGUCUUCGGAUUGUAAAGCUCUGUCUUUUGGGACGAUAAUGACGGUACCAAAGGAGGAAGCCACGGCUAACUACGUGCCAGCAGCCGCGGUAAUACGUAGGUGGCGAGCGUUGUCCGGAUUUACUGGGCGUAAAGGGUGCGUAGGCGGAUGUUUAAGUGAGAUGUGAAAUACCCGGGCUUAACUUGGGUGCUGCAUUUCAAACUGGAUAUCUAGAGUGCAGGAGAGGAGAAUGGAAUUCCUAGUGUAGCGGUGAAAUGCGUAGAGAUUAGGAAGAACACCAGUGGCGAA